rnacentral:rRNA from 1 species
GACGAACCGUCCAAACGUUAUUCGGAAUUACUGGGCUUAAAGGGUGCGUAGGCGGCUCAGAAAGUAGGGUGUGAAAGCCCUCGGCUCAACCGAGGAAUUGCGCCCUAAACUACUGGACUCGAGGGAGACAGAGGUAAGCGGAACUUACGGUGGAGCGGUGAAAUGCGUUGAUAUCGUAAGGAACACCAGGAGCGAAAGCGGCUUACUGGGUCUCUUCUGACGCUGAGGCACGAAAGCUAGGGGAGCGAACGGG